rnacentral:rRNA from 1 species
CCCUUAGAUGUUCUGGGCCGCACGCGUGCUACACUGAGUGGAUCAGCGGGUCGGGUUGCGCGAAAGUGUUUCCUAAUCUUUAAAUCCGCUCGUGAUGGGGAUUGACGGUUGCAAUUUUCCGUCAUGAACGAGGAAUACCUUGUAAGCGCGGGUCAUCAUCCCGCGCUGAAUACGUCCCUGCCCUUUGUACACACCGCCCGUCGCUCCUACCGAUUGAGUGGUCCGGUGAGGCUUUGGGAUCUGGGCGGAAAGAGCGUUUCGCUGUUUCUGCCCGGAAAACUCAGUCGAACCUUAUCAUUUAGAGGAAGGAGAAGUCGUAACA